UGGGGAAUAUUGGACAAUGGGCGCAAGCCUGAUCCAGCCAUGCCGCGUGGGUGAAGAAGGCCUUCGGGUUGUAAAGCCCUUUUGUUGGGGAAGAAAUCGUGCAGGUGAAUAUCCUGCGCGGAUGACGGUACCCUAUGAAUAAGCACCGGCUAACUCCGUGCCAGCAGCCGCGGUAAUACGGAGGGUGCAGGCGUUAUCCGGAUUUACUGGGUUUAAAGGGUGCGUAGGCGGGCAUGUAAGUCAGUGGUGAAAUACCGGAGCUUAACUUCGGAACUGCCAUUGAUACUAUAUGUCUUGAAUAUUGUGGAGGUAAGCGGAAUAUGUCAUGUAGCGGUGAAAUGCAUAGAUAUGACAUAGAACACCGAUUGCGGAGGCAGCUUGCUACGCAAAUAUUGACGCUGAGGCACGAAAGCGUGGGGAUCAAACA
rnacentral:rRNA from 1 species